rnacentral:rRNA from 1 species
CACUCUAAGUUGACUGCCGGUGACAAACCGGAGGAAGGUGGGGAUGACGUCAAAUCAUCAUGCCCCUUAUGAUUUGGGCUACACACGUGCUACAAUGGACAAUACAAAGGGCAGCGAAACCGCGAGGUCAAGCAAAUCCCAUAAAGUUGUUCUCAGUUCGGAUUGUAGUCUGCAACUCGACUAUAUGAAGCUGGAAUCGCUAGUAAUCGUAGAUCAGCAUGCUACGGUGAAUACGUUCCCGGGUCUUGUACACACCGCCCGUCACACCACGAGAGUUUGUAACACCCGAAGCCGGUGGAGUAACCAUUUGGAGCUAGCCGUCGAAGGUGGGACAAAUGAUUGGGGUGAAGUCGUAACAAGGUAGCCGUAUCGGAAGGUGCGGCUGGAUCACCUCCUUUCUAAGGA